AGUCGAGCGAGCGGAACUAACAGAUUUACUUCGGUAAUGACGUUAGGAAAGCGAGCGGCGGAUGGGUGAGUAACACGUGGGGAAUCUGCCCCAUAGUCUGGGAUACCACUUGGAAACAGGUGCUAAUACCGGAUAAGAAAGCAGAUCGCAUGAUCAGCUUUUAAAAGGCGGCGUAAGCUGUCGCUAUGGGAUGGCCCCGCGGUGCAUUAGCUAGUUGGUAAGGUAAAGGCUUACCAAGGCGAUGAUGCAUAGCCGAGUUGAGAGACUGAUCGGCCACAUUGGGACUGAGACACGGCCCAAACUCCUACGGGAGGCAGCAGUAGGGAAUCUUCCACAAUGGACGCAAGUCUGAUGGAGCAACGCCGCGUGAGUGAAGAAGGUUUUCGGAUCGUAAAGCUCUGUUGUUGGUGAAGAAGGAUAGAGGUAGUAACUGGCCUUUAUUUGACGGUAAUCAACCAGAAAGUCACGGCUAACUACGUGCCAGCAGCCGCGGUAAUACGUAGGUGGCAAGCGUUGUCCGGAUUUAUUGGGCGUAAAGCGAGCGCAGGCGGAAGAAUAAGUCUGAUGUGAAAGCCCUCGGCUUAACCGAGGAACUGCGUCGGAAACUGUUUUUCUUGAGUGCAGAAGAGGAGAGUGGAACUCCAUGUGUAGCGGUGGAAUGCGUGGAUAUAUGGAAGAACACCAGUGGCGAAGGCGGCUCUCUGGUCUGCAACUGACGCUGAGGCUCGAAAGCAUGGGUAGCGAACAGGAUUAGAUACCCUGGUAGUCCAUGCCGUANACGAUGAGUGCUAAGUGUUGGGAGGUUUCCGCCUCUCAGUGCUGCAGCUAACGCAUUAAGCACUCCG
rnacentral:rRNA from 1 species